rnacentral:rRNA from 1 species
UACGUAUGGAGCAAGCGUUAUCCGGAUUUACUGGGUGUAAAGGGAGCGCAGGCGGUCUGGCAAGUCUGGUGUGAAAGGCCGGGGCUCAACCCCGGGACUGCAUUGGAAACUGUCAGACUGGAGUGUCGGAGAGGCAAGCGGAAUUCCUAGUGUAGCGGUGAAAUGCGUAGAUAUUAGGAGGAACACCAGUGGCGAAAGCGGCUCUCUGGCCUGUAACUGACACUGAGGCUCGAAAGCGUGGGGAGCAAACAGG